UAAUACAUCGGAACGUGUCCUGUUGUGGGGGAUAACUGCUCGAAAGGGUGGCUAAUACCGCAUGAGACCUGAGGGUGAAAGCGGGGGGUCGCAAGACCUCGCGCAAUUGGAGCGGCCGACGCCCGAUUAGCUAGUUGGUGAAGUAAAGGCUCACCAAGGCGACGAUCGGUAGCUGGUCUGAGAGGACGACCAGCCACACUGGGACUGAGACACGGCCCAGACUCCUACGGGAGGCAGCAGUGGGGAAUUUUGGACAAUGGGGGCAACCCUGAUCCAGCCAUGCCGCGUGCAGGAUGAAGGCCUUCGGGUUGUAAACUGCUUUUGUCAGGGACGAAAAGGACCGUGUUAAUACCAUGGUCUGCUGACGGUACCUGAAGAAUAAGCACCGGCUAACUACGUGCCAGCAGCCGCGGUAAUACGUAGGGUGCAAGCGUUAAUCGGAAUUACUGGGCGUAAAGCGUGCGCAGGCGGUUCUGUAAGACAGAUGUGAAAUCCCCGGGCUCAACCUGGGAAUUGCAUUUGUGACUGCA
rnacentral:rRNA from 1 species